rnacentral:lncRNA from 1 species
UUUUAUAGCAUCUUAAACAAGGCUGUUUCUAUCAGUUUUAUGCUGCUUAAUACUCUCUCAUCUGUUGUGUUGUUGUUUUGCUGUUUCAUAUGCAUUAAUUUUAAUGGGAAAAACACUCACAAAAUAUUACCAUUGAUACUCUAAGUGGCCAAUAAUUUCAUAUUUAUCCAUAUUUUCCCAAUCCAGAGCUGUUUAUUUCUAUUGAUGUCAACCUUGAAUGAUUUUUAUUAACUCCCAAAUAAAUGCUUUAUUAUUUUCUGUUAUAUGUGGCUGCUGGUGACAAUCUCUUAGAUUUUUUUUCCCUUUGUCCAAAACUACCUUCAUUUUACUUUCAACUUUGAAUGAUAAUUUCACUGUAUAUAACACACUAGAUUCCUUAGCAGUUAUAAAUGUUUCCUGGCUUCUGUCAUGUGUCAAAUACGUAGGCAAGGUGGAGGAACAAACCAAGUUUAUUGGGGAAAGUUUUUUGGGGUAACUCCUAUAAAAAAUAUAAAGGGAGCAAGCAGUCAUAAGGGUGAUCUGAAGCCUGUGAAGAGAAAAGGGGAAGGAAGACCCUCAUACCAUCUUCCAAAUCUGAAAAACCUUUGGGGAGCCCUGAAGCAAAUGUGACCCUCUGAGGAAUCCUACAUUACUUAGAAAUAACCAGGCCAUAGUACUCCUCUUUGCUUAGACCUUAAUUUGGUGCUGAGAAAAGAAUGGCCUUGACCAUUCAAGUUGAAGUACAUUCUGAAAGCACUGAAAGUGGAGGCUGUCAGCUAACCAUGUUCAGCACAAAUGAGUAGCAACUUCUCCUUGAAGGGAGAAAAGAGAGGCACAAUUCUAUGAUCACAGUCUACCUCCUGCACCCCAUUCAUUCAUUCUUUUAUAUACAUUUAAGGUGUACUUCCUCUGGGAUUCCAAUGGAUCUCUCUUUUUGGUUGAGAAAAAAGAAGGCAGCUGGUGGGACAAACAACAGUCACUACUGUAGUUGGUCUUGGAGGUCACAAUUAGAACUCAUUGUUGUCUCUCUUCCAUUCUAAUCUAAAGUCUUCUCACCUUCAGUACAAUUUCUCCUGGUUUCCAUGACUGGUUUCCAUGGAGUGAUAUAUGAGAUGUCCAAGUUUCUUAUAAUACCAUUCUUAGAAAGGAACUGGCACACAUGUUCAUUCAUAUGUACAUGCACAUGUUCAUUCAGACGGGGAAGUUUCAAGAGGCACCCAAGUAAACUUCUAUAAAUAUUCCUUUCUGGCCUCAUUAAAUAAAAGUAGUCCUAAUUUAUCAUUCUGAUAAGGAUCAAUUCUAGCAACAUGGAGACUCUUUUUCUUGGCUGCUAUUCUUUGGACUCAAGAAUUCCAAAGUACCCAGAUAACAGUCAGAGGAUUCAGGUCAAUGGGGACUUUGCUGAGUUCUUGUGGAAGAAUUUGCUCCUUUUGAAUACCAGGAACUAUAGAAGUCAGAAUGGUGGAGAUGAAAAGCAUAUUCUCAAAAUGGAUCACUGAAUCUUAGACAUAGUGCCAUAUAAGACAUUAAUUGAAGGUACAUUCUGCCUUUUAAGGGAUGGUGCCCUAUGCUCACAGAGUAGUGUGUCUGAGCUGACACUUCAGUAGUCCCUUCAGUAGAUUAUUACCAAGGUCUAGGGCUGGCUGAUUGGUUAUUAUACCAUGUGAUGUGACCAGUGGGUCCCAUGGUUUGGACCCACUUACAAAGCCUUCCACAUCUUUAUUCUGCACUGCUAUGUAGGAUUUUAUACUUCUUGCAUUAGGCUACUCCAGAGGAACAGAACCAGUAGAAUUUGUAUAUAUGUGUGAGAGAGAAUUUAUUCUAAGGAACUAACUCAUAUGAUCAUGGGAUCUGGCAUGUCUGAAGCUUGCAGAUCCAACUAGCAGGAAACAGAUUCAUCAAGAGAUAGAAAUAGAGAUAGAGAUGUAGAGAUAGAGACAGACAGAUGAUAGAGACAGAGACAGAGAAAGACAGAGACAGAGAGAGAGAGAUAGAGAUAGAGGAAGAGGGGUACUCCUAUUAAUUGCCCACCUAUUUGUCUCUAGAGAAGCUAUAUUCUAUUAAUCAUCUCCACAACACUUUGAAAAUGAUGUCCCCCUGUUUACUACUCCAACCUGAUCAGUCAUUAUGUUAAUUGAGACACUCCAUCUUCUGUAGUUAAGUGCUGGUUCUUAGCUUUUAUUACUUCCAGGGCCUUAUCUAUUUGGUUUUUUUCAGCUCUGUCACAAACUGAACUCCAUGGAAGCCUUCUCUGUCAGCCACUGUGCCUUGGGGAUCAGAGACACAAGUGAGCUUUUUAUUCAUCCUGCUGCCCCUCUAGCCAGAAGCCAGUGCAUUCCUGAGAACCAUGUUAAAGGGUGUAUCCUCUGGGCCUUCUCGUGGAACAACCUCUCGGGACAAGAUGAGGAGAAGUCCUGAAGGUGAUUGUGCUGGCCAGUCUUGGUUGCCAUUGUGACUGUGUUAAGCAACUCCUGUAGAGAUAAUUGGACCAUAAAGGCACCAACCUCAUCAAGGACCAACCCACAGACAAGUUCAUCACUGAAGAGGCUGUUAGAGGGUGUGCCUCGCUGGAGAGACUGAGGUUGAAGCACAAGUCAUGAGAGCUCUCCCUGUCUGGUCCACUCUUCUCCUUCCAGUCACACCUCACGUCACUUGAUCUAAACCCUCCCUGUCUUCCUGCAUGGACACCUUUGAAGUUGCCCUACUGCUGGAAGCACCAGGACCUUCCUUAGUAUGGAUUCCUAUGGAGAAACUCAUGGCUUCUGCAUUGGUCUUUCCAGAUCCCAGCUUAAUAAAAGCAAUGCCAUUUGUUUUACUAGAUGUUUUUACUACAGAUUUCUUCCUAAUGCAC